rnacentral:rRNA from 1 species
UACAGAGGGGGCAAGCGUUGUUCGGAAUUACUGGGCGUAAAGGGCGCGUAGGCGGCCUUCUAAGUCGAACGUGAAAUCCCUGGGCUCAACCCAGGAACUGCGUCCGAUACUGGAAGGCUUGAAUCCGGGAGAGGGAUGCGGAAUUCCAGGUGUAGCGGUGAAAUGCGUAGAUAUCUGGAGGAACACCGGUGGCGAAGGCGGCGUUCUGGACUGUUACUGACACUGAGGAACGAAAGCCAGGGGAGCAAACGGG